GACGAACGCUGGCGGCGUGCUUAACACAUGCAAGUCGAACGCUGAAGCUUGGUGCUUGCACUGGGUGGAUGAGUGGCGAACGGGUGAGUAAUACGUGAGUAACCUGCCCUUGACUCUGGGAUAAGCCUGGGAAACUGGGUCUAACACUGGAUACGACAUGUCACCGCAUGGUGGUGUGUGGAAAGGGUUUUACUGGUUUUGGAUGGGCUCACGGCCUAUCAGCUUGUUGGUGGGGUAAUGGCUCACCAAGGCGACGACGGGUAGCCGGCCUGAGAGGGUGACCGGCCACACUGGGACUGAGACACGGCCCAGACUCCUACGGGAGGCAGCAGUGGGGAAUAUUGCACAAUGGGCGGAAGCCUGAUGCAGCGACGCCGCGUGAGGGAUGACGGCCUUCGGGUUGUAAACCUCUUUCAGCACGGAAGAAGCGAAAGUGACGGUACGUGCAGAAGAAGCGCCGGCUAACUACGUG
rnacentral:rRNA from 1 species